rnacentral:lncRNA from 1 species
CCAAGAAGUUCAUUAAAACCCACAGCGGCAGGGCUUUGCUCUACUGUUCUCCACCCUAGUGAAAGAGACAUAUCCAUUAAACCGUGUUCUGAUUGGUCAUUCAUAAGAGAAUAACUUAAGUCCAAGGGUCACCUGUGAAACUUUGCCACAAGUAUUUUGACAAAUUCAAACCAUUGGUCAGUGUUUGUGUAGGACAUAGAGCAGAAGACAAAGAAAAUAGCACGUGGGAGAACGAGAAGUCGAGGAAAGUCCAGAUAUAGUUGUGCAGGUAUCCUUGGUGGCCAGUGCCUUGUGAAAGCACAGAAGCUGCAGAGAACAGGGUUCAAGUGCUCCCCUAGGGCAUGGCUUGUAGCUUUCCACUCAUUAUGGAAUCAAGCCUUGAGAGCCAGUCCCCUGUCUGAGCCCAUUGCACUGCCCUGCCCAAGAGAGAGAGGAGGCCAAAAGUGCUCGGAAAGCAGGAGAAUCUCGCUUCAAAGGAAAAUGAAAAUUCCACCUGUGCAGAAACGUCCUUCUUCCUUUUCUACUGGCAUAAUUUUCAUAGAGGCUUCAAAUCUCAAUACAAUGGC